UGGGGAAUAUUGGACAAUGGGCGAAAGCCUGAUCCAGCCAUGCCGCGUGUGUGAAGAAGGACUUCGGAUUGUAAAGCACUUUAAGUUGGGAGGAAGGGCAGUAAGCGAAUACCUUGCUGUUUUGACGUUACCGACAGAAUAAGCACCGGCUAACUCUGUGCCAGCAGCCGCGGUAAUACAGAGGGUGCAAGCGUUAAUCGGAAUUACUGGGCGUAAAGCGCGCGUAGGUGGUUCGUUAAGUUGAAUGUGAAAGCCCCGGGCUCAACCUGGGAACUGCAUCCAAAACGGGCGAGCUAGAGUAGGGCAGAGGGUGGUGGAAUUUCCUGUGUAGCGGUGAAAUGCGUAGAUAUAGGAAGGAACACCAGUGGCGAAGGCGACCACCUGGGCUCAUACUGACACUGAGGUGCGAAAGCGUGGGGAGCAAACAGG
rnacentral:rRNA from 1 species